rnacentral:lncRNA from 1 species
CACCCUCAAACCCUCUUCUCUCUCAAAUGCUCUCAAACCAUAAUCGCCGCCCACCUCUUUUCGACCUCAAAUCCACCAGAAUCCAUGGCUGCUCUAGCCAUAGACGACCUACACUCACCUUCUACUGCUCUCACAUGCUCGGUUCCUAAAGAUUCGAGGCCAGUAUUCAAGGGUCUUAACCCAGACCUUUGUCGAUUAGUGGUUUUCAGCCGUUUCCAGCCUUGCUCUGGCUUAUUGUAGCCUACUGAGCCUGGUUCCGGCCUUAUCGACUCAGAUCUGAUCUCGUGACUUCCAAGCCUUUCUCGUCCUUUAGGGUUCUCAGAAACCCUAGCCUAUUCGAGGUUUUUUUCGUUUUAUUUGUUUAGAUCUGUGCUAGAUCUAUGCUGUGUGUGACUUUUUAGAGCUUUUCACCAAAUUUUCUUUUUUCAAAAAUGUUCAAAUCCGAUUUUAGGGUUUCUGAAAAUGACUCCUAAAUGUUUGCUGACUCUUU